rnacentral:rRNA from 1 species
AUUGAACGCUGGCGGCAGGCCUAACACAUGCAAGUCGAGCGGAGCGGCGGACGGGUGAGUAAUGCCUAGGAAUCUGCCUGGUAGUGGGGGAUAACGCCCGGAAACGGGCCCCAAGUCCGCAUGCUAUCAGAUGACCUUAGGUGGGAUUAGCUAGUUGGUGGGGUAAAGGCCUACCAAGGCGAAGAUGCAUAGCUGGUCUGAGAGGAUGAUCAGUCACACGGGAACUGAGACACGGGCCAGACUCCUACGGGAGGCAGCAGUAGGGAAUAUUGGACAAUGGGCGAAAGCCUGAUCCAGCCAUGCCGCGUGUGUGAAGAAGGUCUUCGGAGUGUAAAGCACUGUAAGUAGGGAGGCGUUACCAACAGAAUAAGCACCGGCUAACUUCGUGCCAGCAGCCGCGGUAAUAC